rnacentral:rRNA from 1 species
GAUGAACGCUGGCGGCGUGCCUAAUACAUGCAAGUCGAGCGAGGCCCUUCGGGGCCUAGCGGCGGACGGGUGAGUAACACGUGGGUAAUCUGCCUGUAAGACUGGGAUAACUUCGGGAAACCGAAGCUAAUACCGGAUAAUUUCGAGCAUCGCAUGAUGCUUGAUGGAAAGACGGUUUCGGCUGUCACCUACAGAUGAACCCGCGUCGCAUUAGCUAGUUGGUGAGGUAAUGGCUCACCAGGGCGACGAUGCGUAGCCGACCUGAGAGGGUGAUCGGCCACACUGGGACUGAGACACGGCCCAGACUCCUACGGGAGGCAGCAGUAGGGAAUCUUCGGCAAUGGGCGAAAGCCUGACCGAGCAACGCCGCGUGAGCGAUGAAGGCCUUCGGGUCGUAAAGCUCUGUUGUUAAGGAAGAACAAGUACGAGGGUAACCGCUCAUACCUUGACGGUACUUAACGAGAAAGCCACGGCUAACUACGUGCCAGCAGCCGCAGUAAUAC